rnacentral:rRNA from 1 species
AGAGUUUGAUCCUGGCUCAGGAUGAACGCUAGCGACAGGCUUAACACAUGCAAGUCGAGGGGCAGCGAGGGAGUGGCAACACUUCUGUCGGCGACCGGCGCACGGGUGAGUAACGCGUAUGCAACCUACCCUUCACAGGGGGAUAACCGGGAGAAAUUCCGACUAAUACCGCAUACGUCCUCCGGGGGCAUCCCCGGGGGAUGAAAGAAUUAUCGGUGAAGGAUGGGCAUGCGUGAUAUUAGGUAGUUGGCGGGGCAACGGCCCACCAAGCCCACGAUAUCUAGGGGUUCUGAGAGGAAGGUCCCCCACAUUGGUACUGAGACACGGACCAAACUCCUACGGGAGGCAGCAGUGAGGAAUAUUGGUCAAUGGACGCAAGUCUGAACCAGCCAUGCCGCGUGCAGGAAGACGGCUCUAUGAGUUGUAAACUGCUUUUGUACGAGGGUAAACGCAGAUACGUGUAUCUGUCUGAAAGUAUCGUACGAAUAAGGAUCGGCUAACUCCGUGCCAGCAGCCGCGGUAAUACGGAGGAUCCAAGCGUUAUCCGGAUUUAUUGGGUUUAAAGGGUGCGUAGGCGGUUUGAUAAGUUAGAGGUGAAAUUUCGGGGCUCAACCCUGAACGUGCCUCUAAUACUGUUGAGCUAGAGAGUAGUUGCGGUAGGCGGAAUGUAUGGUGUAGCGGUGAAAUGCUUAGAGAUCAUACAGAACACCGAUUGCGAAGGCAGCUUACCAAACUAUAUCUGACGUUGAGGCACGAAAGCGUGGGGAGCAAACAGGAUUAGAUACCCUGGUAGUCCACGCAGUAAACGAUGAUAACUCGUUGUCGGCGAUACACAGUCGGUGACUAAGCGAAAGCGAUAAGUUAUCCACCUGGGGAGUACGUUCGCAAGAAUGAAACUCAAAGGAAUUGACGGGGGCCCGCACAAGCGGAGGAACAUGUG